CCUACGGGGGGCAGCAGUGGGGAAUUUUCCGCAAUGGGCGAAAGCCUGACGGAGCAAUACCGCGUGAGGGAAGAAGGUCUGUGGAUUGUAAACCUCUUUUGUUAGGGACGAUAAUGACGGUACCUAACGAAUAAGCCUCGGCUAACUCCGUGCCAGCAGCCACGGUAAGACGGAGGAGGCAAGCGUUAUCCGGAAUUAUUGGGCGUAAAGCGUACGCAGGUGGGUUGACAAGUCUUUUGUCAAAGACCGGGGCUUAACCCUGGGAAGGCAGAGGAAACUGUUAAUCUAGAGUGCGGUAGGGGCAGGAGGAAUUCCCGGUGUAGCGGUGAAAUGCGUAGAUAUCGGGAAGAACACCAGCGGCGAAAGCGUCCUGCUAGGCCGUAACUGACACUCAUGGACGAAAGCUAGGGGAGCGAAAGGGAUUAGAUACCCCAGUAGUC
rnacentral:rRNA from 1 species